rnacentral:rRNA from 1 species
UACGUAGGGUGCAAGCGUUAAUCGGAAUUACUGGGCGUAAAGCGUGCGCAGGCGGUUCGCCAAGUCAGGUGUGAAAUCCCCGGGCUUAACCUGGGAAUUGCGCUUGAAACUAGCGGGCUUGAGUGUGGCAGAGGGGGGGUGGGAAUUCCACGUGUAGCAGUGAAAUGCGUAGAGAUGUGGAGGAACACCGAUGGCGAAGGCAGCCCCCUGGGUCAACACUGACGCUCAUGCACGAAAGCGUGGGGAGCAAACAGG